AUUGAACGCUGGCGGCAGGCCUAACACAUGCAAGUCGAACGAGUGGCGGACGGGUGAGUAAUGUCUGGGAACCUGCCCGAUGGAGGGGGAUAACUACUGGAAACGGUAGCUAAUACCGCAUACCAUCGGAUGUGCCCAGAUGGGAUUGGCUAGUAGGUGGGGUAACGGGUCACCUAGGCGACGAUCCCUAGCUGGUCUGAGAGGAUGUCCAGCCACAGUGGAACGGGGUCACGGUCCAGACUCCUACGGGAGGCAGCAGUGGGGAAUGUUGCGCAAUGGGGGCAAGCCUGAUACAGCCAUGCCGCGUGUGUGAAGAAGGCCUUCGGGUUGUAAAGUACUUUCAGCGAGGAGACGUUACUCGCAGAAGAAGCACCGGCUAACUCAGUGCCAGCAGCCGCGGUAAUUC
rnacentral:rRNA from 1 species